GAGGGAGAUAUCAGGGGUGGAGGGAAGGAGAAAGAGAUGUUGGGUGGAGGGAAGGAUGGAGAGAUGGGGGUUGGAGGGAAGGAGGGAGAGAUGUAUGGUGAAGGGAAGGAUAGAGAGAUGUAUGGUAGAAGUAUAUUUGGAGGCAUCAGUGGAGGUAAAGAUAUCGUCCAGGUUUCUUCUUACGAGCGUGUUGAGAAGCUCCAGGCCGAGCGUCGGGCCCUCAUAAGCCCAGAUUCAGGCAUCGGCAGUGGGGCAGAGGAUCAGGAAAGUCAGGAGAGCGUGGAGGAUGCGGUCGGGCCUAUUGCAUCCACCCCCCAUUUUGUCUCUCAGGACUUCCAUCUUGUUCCGCUUCUUCCUCUUAUCAAUAACAAUAACUUUACAUUCUGCUCCACCCCCUUACCCAUUUCCCUGUCCGCUUUCCCCCAGCUUCCCUUCACCCUACCUGGGUUGGAUAGUGUAGGGGGAAAGGGUACGGAGAUGGGGGUUGGAGGAGGUUCUCUCACAAUGUCUUCCUCCUAUGAACGUGUGGAUAAUCUGCAGCUCCAGGCCCAACUCUUGGCCCCUCAGAGCCCAGAUUCAGGCAUUGGCAGUGGGGGAGAGGAUCAGGAAAGCCAGGAGAGUGUGGAGGAUGAGGUCAGGCUAACUGUGACCCCCUGUAACCAUAUCCCUCUUAUUACCACUAACAAUAUAUUUCCAUUCUGUUCCACCCCCUUACCAAUCCCGCUGGAUGUUUUACCCCAACUACCCCUCACCUUCUCUGGGUUUGGGACGGUUCCAUCCCUGGGACCCAGUACUAGUACCAGUCAUCAAGGCAGGCUGUUGGAGAUGUCUCUCCUGUCUUCUUCAAUGGCAAUAGAGCCCUCUAGUGGCGGCUACAUGCCAGUGAAAGAAGCUCAGAACUGAACUAUGAAAACAUUUGACUAGGGAGGGACUAAUGAUUUAUAUAUACACUAGAUGACUGACAGGCUGUUUUAAAGCCAACACUCCUCCAUCUGGGCACUCCCCCUCCAUUGUAAAUAAUACUAUGGAAGCUAUAGAAAUGCAUUUAUUAAUGUCUACAUUUGUUUUUACCACAUUUAUUCUAUUACAGACACACUUUUUAAAGAACUAAUGUAACUGUCCCCACUACAACAACAAAAAAAAGACUUACAAAUACGUCAUUUGGUCAUUGAAACAUUUCAAUGACAUACUGUAGAAUUCCAUCCAUUCCAAUAGAGCUCCACAGUGGAGGUGCCAUAAUACCCAUAAAACAUUUAAUUGGGCUGCAAUUUCUGAGGUGGUAACUGUAAUGAACUUGUCCUCUGCAGCAGAGGUAACUCUGGGUCUUCCUUUCCUGUGGCGGUCCUCAUGAGAGCCAGUUUCAUCAUAGCGCUUGAUGGUUUUUUGCGACUGCACUUGAAGAAACUUUCAAAGUUAUUGACAUUUUCGGAUUGACUGACCUUCAUGUCUUAAAUUAAUGAUGGACUGUCGUUCGCUUUGCUUAUUUGAGCUGUUCUUGACAUAAUAUGGACUUGGUCUUUUACCAAAUAGGGCUAUCUUCUGUACACCACCCUACCUUGUCACAACACAAUUGAUUGGCUCAAAUGCAUUAAGAAGGGAAAUAAAUUACACAAAUUAACUUUUAAAAAGGCACACCUGUUAAUUGAAAUUCAUUCCAGGUGACUACCUCAUGAAGCUGGUUGAGAGAAUGCCAAGAGUGUGCAAAGCUGUCAAGGCAAAGGGUAGCUACUUUGAAGAAUCUCAAAUAUAAAAAUAUACUUUAAUUCCAUGUGUUAUUUCAUAGUGUUGGUGUCUUCACUAUUAUUCUACAAAGUAGAAAAGAGUAAAAACAAAGAAAAACCCUUGAAUGAGCAGGUGUGUCCAAACUUUUGACUGGUACUGAAUAUUCGGCUCUAUUUACUCUCCGAUUCGAAAAUACUCAUUCGCAUCAACAUAGACAUCAUGCAAGUCCUGCACAUCAUCUCUGGUGUCAUCACUGACACCUUUUGCUAACAGGUAUUGUGUCAAUUUAAAACUUGCACAAGACAGUUUCCAGAAUUGUACAUGUAAAAAGAUUCUGCCAAUUCAUUUCAUUACUCCAUUUAGCUAACAUUAUACACUUAAUCCAGAGAUUUGGGGCAGCAGGUAGUCUAGUGGUUAGAGCGUUGGGCCAGUAAGCAAAAUGCUGCUGGUUUGAAUCCCCGAGCUGACAGGGUAAAAAAUCUGUCAUUCUGCCCCUGAACAAGGCAGUUAACCCUCUGUUCCCCGGUAGGCCGUCAUUGUCAAUAAGAAUUUGUUCUUAACCGACUUGCUUAGUUAAAUAAAGGUUACAUUUAAAAACACUUUUUUAAAUGAUUCCCUUUCCCUCAUGGUAUUUGUAGUUCUUUAUGAUAGCCACAUUAGCAUUUUUUUUUUUGGGGGGGGGGGGGUAAAUACAGACUAAUACAUUGAUAAAAGUCACCUUGUCCGAGACCCUGAUUUAAUGUUUUGAUAACCAUGUAAAUCUCUAAGUCUACAUGAAACACAGCCCUUAUUUGAAGUGUUUCUAAAAUCCCCUGUGGGAAAAAUGAAUGGUGUAAAAACGAUUGGACCCAUUUCCCUGUUUGACUGCUAAGUUUUAUGUGUAUUGUGACUCAUACUCGUAGUCUAUGGAGGACUGCUUUUCUGAGGAGUGCCAAUAUGGCCGACCGGUGGCUUCAAAACCUCAAUCUGGCAAUCUGGGGAUUGGCAAUCUGGGGAUUGGUACAUUCAUUUUGUUGCUGUUUGAAUCCCAGAUUUCCCUUUUAAUAGGAUGUGGUUGAGGUAUGGGAAUGUUUUAGAUAGGUUCAUAGAUAUGCAUGUCCAGUAGAUACUGUACAUCAGGGCUAUUCAACUAGCGGCCCGCGCGCCAGAUCCGGCCCGUUUCUGAAUUUAAACCCUGAACAUUAAUAGAAGAUCAGUAAAAAAUUUUUUUUUAUUUCCACCAAAAUCCGCCGUUCAGUGGCAAAAUGACAAGCCCUAUGGUGGUUGUCUAUAGUCUGGUGCCUAUGUAGAAUGUCAAUGGGUUUUUCUCUUCGUCAUAUAGAUUUGGCAGUAGCGUUUGAACAGUUUAAGCUUCAAAAUAUGAUGAAAGCUACACCUCUAAGGAACACAUACAUGCCUUCUGUUGCCCUCUCGGAUGCUCACAAAGACUCGUUAGAAGUGAGAGACAAACAAGGCACCUAAUGACUGAGGGAAAUUCAUUCAAAGCAUCCUUCCUUCAGACUGGAAUUUGACAUGACCUGAUUUGACAUAUCUUUGUGUUAUUUACAGAGAUGCUUAGUUUUCAGAUGCUUUUAAAAUGACCUAAUUACUUUUAAGAAGCUUUUAAUAGUUAUUUAACUGCUUUAUUGGUGGUUGUGGGUCACUUGUUUUAUACAGUUCUUCGAAGAAUAAUCACAUGUGGAAAAUGUCCAGCCCCCCUGCAAUUAAACCUUUUUUCAUCUGGCCUCUGUAAGAAGAUAGUUGAAUAGCCCUGCUGUACCUUAUAUAGAUACACAUCCAUAUCAUCAGUUCUAUAGGAUGGUAACAGGUGGAUAGAGACAGUUAAUGUGGUUCUAUAGGAUGGUAACAGGUGGAUAGAGACAGUUAAUGUGGUUCUAGAGGAUGGUAACAGGAGGAUAGAGACAGUUAAUGUGGUUCUAUAGGAUGGUAACAGGUGGAUAGAGACAGUUAAUGUGGUUCUAUAGGAUGGUAACAGGUGGAUAGAGACAGUUAAUGUGGUUCUAGAGGAUGGUAACAGGUGGAUAGACAGUUAAUGUGGUUCUAUAGGAUGGUAACAGGUGGAUAGAGACAGUUAAUGUGGUUCUAUAGGAUGGUAACAGGAGGAUGGAGACAGUUAAUGUGGUUCUAUAGGAUGGUAACAGGUGGAUAGAGACAGUUAAUGUGGUUCUAGAGGAUGGUAACAGGUGGAUAGACAGUUAAUGUGGUUCUAUAGGAUGGUAACAGGUGGAUAGAGACAGUUAAUGUGGUUCUAUAGGAUGGUAACAGGAGGAUAGAGACAGUUAAUGUGGUUCUAUAGGAUGGUAACAGGAGGAUAGAGACAGUUAAUGUGGUUCUAUAGGAUGGUAACAGGUGGAUAGAGACAGUUAAUGUGGUUCUAUAGGAUGGUAACAGGAGGAUAGAGACAGUUAAUGUGGUUCUAUAGGAUGGUAACAGGUGGAUAGAGACAGUUAAUGUGGUUCUAUAGGAUGGUAACAGGUGGAUAGAGACAGUUAAUGUGGUUCUAUAGGAUGGUAACAGGUGGAUAGAGACAGUUAAUGUGGUUCUAUAGGAUGGUAACAGGAGGAUGGAGACAGUUAAUGUGGUUCUAUAGGAUGGUAACAGGUGGAUAGAGACAGUUAAUGUGGUUCUAGAGGAUGGUAACAGGUGGAUAGACAGUUAAUGUGGUUCUAUAGGAUGGUAACAGGUGGAUAGAGACAGUUAAUGUGGUUCUAUAGGAUGGUAACAGGUGGAUAGAGACAGUUAAUGUGGUUUUAGAGGAUGGUAACAGGUGGAUAGACAGUUAAUGUGGUUCUAUAGGAUGGUAACAGGUGGAUAGAGACAGUUAAUGUGGUUCUAUAGGAUGGUAACAGGAGGAUAGAGACAGUUAAUGUGGUUCUAUAGGAUGGUAACAGGAGGAUAGAGACAGUUAAUGUGGUUCUAUAGGAUGGUAACAGGUGGAUAGAGACAGUUAAUGUGGUUCUAUAGGAUGGUAACAGGAGGAUAGAGACAGUUAAUGUGGUUCUAUAGGAUGGUAACAGGUGGAUAGAGACAGUUAAUGUGGUUCUAUAGGAUGGUAACAGGUGGAUAGAGACAGUUAAUGUGGUUCUAUAGGAUGGUAACAGGUGGAUAGAGACAGUUAAUGUGGUUCUAUAGGAUGGUAACAGGUGGAUAGAGACAGUUAAUGUGGUUCUAUAGGAUGGUAACAGGAGGAUAGAGACAGUUAGUGUUGAUUGCUUUGUGUUAGUCAUAAACAGUGUUUUGUCUUGUAGGCUACUUUGUUUGUUUAAAAAACAAAGAAGAAAUAGCAGUUGAGUUUACCACUCAAGUCAUAUAUUUUCUGUUGAAUACUCUGAAAAUUGCCUAUAAGCUUUUAUAAACUGGGUGGUUCGAGCUCUGAAUGCUGAUUGGCUGAAAUACAUGGUAUAUCAGACCGUAUACCACGGAUAUGACAAAACAUUUAUUUUUACUGCUCUAAUUACUUUGGUAACCAGUUUAUAAUAACAAUAAGGCACCUUGGCUAAUUUACUCCACGUUGCAU